rnacentral:pre_miRNA from 1 species
AUUAUACUCCCUCCGUCCCAAAAUUCUUGUCUUAGAUUUGUGUAGAUAUGGAUGUAUCUAAUAUUAAAACGUGACUCGAUACAUCCGUAUUUAGACAAAUCGAAGACAAGAAUUUUGGGACGGAGGGAGUAUUAU